rnacentral:rRNA from 1 species
GACGAACGCUGGCGGCGUGCUUAACACAUGCAAGUCGAACGGAAAGGCCCUGCUUUUGUGGGGUGCUCGAGUGGCGAACGGGUGAGUAACACGUGAGUAACCUGCCCUUGACUUUGGGAUAACUUCAGGAAACUGGGGCUAAUACCGGAUAGGAGCUCCUGCUGCAUGGUGGGGGUUGGAAAGUUUCGGCGGUUGGGGAUGGACUCGCGGCUUAUCAGCUUGUUGGUGGGGUAGUGGCUUACCAAGGCUUUGACGGGUAGCCGGCCUGAGAGGGUGACCGGGCACAUUGGGACUGAGAUACGGCCCAGACUCCUACGGGAGGCAGCAGUGGGGAAUAUUGCACAAUGGGCGGAAGCCUGAUGCAGCAACGCCGCGUGCGGGAUGACGGCCUUCGGGGUGUAAACCGCUUUCGCCUGUGACGAAGCGUGAGUGACGGUAAUGGGUAAAGAAGCACCGGCUAACUACGUG